AGCAGCCGCGGUAAUUCCAGCUCCAAUAGCGUAUAUUAAAGUUGUUGCAGUUAAAAAGCUCGUAGUUGAACUUCAGGCCUGUCCAGAUGGUCCGCCUUAAUUGGUGUGUACUGUCCUUGGGUGGGUCCUACCUUCUGGCGAAGCGGCAUGGCCUUAAUUGGUUGUGUCGGGGAACCAGGACUUUUACUGUGAAAAAUUAGAGUGUUCAAAGCAGGCAUAUAUGCUCGAAUACAUUAGCAUGGAAUAAUGGAAUAGGACGAUGGUUCUAUUUUGUUGGUUCUAGGACCGUUGUAAUGAUUAAUAGGGAUAAUUGGGGGCAUUAGUAUUCAAUUGUCAGAGGUGAAAUUCUUGGAUUUAUUGAAGACUAACUACUGCGAAAGCAUUUGCCAAGGAUGUUUUCAUUAAUCAAGAACGAAAGUUAGGGGAUCGAAGACGAUCAGAUACCGUCGUAGUCUUAACCAUAAACU
rnacentral:rRNA from 1 species